ACAUCGGUAACACAGUGGUUAGUGCAGCCUGCCGUAAACAGAAAAACGCGGGCUCAACUCCCGUCCGAUGAU
rnacentral:tRNA from 1 species